AACGCGAAGAACCUUACCCAGGCUCGAAAUGCAGUGGACAGUGUCAGAGAUGACAUCUUCCGCAAGGACCGCUGUAUAGGUGCUGCAUGGCUGUCGUCAGCUCGUGCCGUGAGGUGUUGGGUUAAGUCCCGCAACGAGCGCAACCCUUAUCAUUAGUUGCCAACAUUUAAGGUGGGGACUCUAAUGAGACUGCCUAGGUUAACUAGGAGGAAGGUGAGGAUGACGUCAAGUCCGCAUGGCCUUUAUGUCUGGGGCUACACACGUGCUACAAUGGUCGGUACAGAAGGUAGCAAGAUCGCAAGAUGGAGCUAAUCCGUAAAGCCGAUCUCAGUUCGGAUUGUAGUCUGCAACUCGACUACAUGAAGUUGGAAUUGCUAGUAAUGACGUGUCAGCAACAGCGUCGUGAAUACGUUCCCGGGCCUUGUA
rnacentral:rRNA from 1 species